AGUCGAACGAUGAAGCCCUUCGGGGUGGAUUAGUGGCGAACGGGUGAGUAACACGUGGGCAAUCUGCCCUUCACUCUGGGACAAGCCCUGGAAACGGGGUCUAAUACCGGAUACCACUCCUGCCCGCAUGGGUGGGGGUUGAAAGCUCCGGCGGUGAAGGAUGAGCCCGCGGCCUAUCAGCUUGUUGGUGGGGUAAUGGCCCACCAAGGCGACGACGGGUAGCCGGCCUGAGAGGGCGACCGGCCACACUGGGACUGAGACACGGCCCAGACUCCUACGGGAGGCAGCAGUGGGGAAUAUUGCACAAUGGGCGAAAGCCUGAUGCAGCGACGCCGCGUGAGGGAUGACGGCCUUCGGGUUGUAAACCUCUUUCAGCAGGGAAGAAGCGAAAGUGACGGUACCUGCAGAAGAAGCGCCGGCUAACUACGUGCCAGCAGCCGCGGUAAUACGUAGGGCGCAAGCGUUGUCCGGAAUUAUUGGGCGUAAAGAGCUCGUAGGCGGCUUGUCACGUCGGAUGUGAAAGCCCGAGGCUUAACCUCGGGUCUGCAUUCGAUACGGGCUAGCUAGAGUGUGGUAGGGGAGAUCGGAAUUCCUGGUGUA
rnacentral:rRNA from 1 species